AUACGGAGGGUGCGAACGUUAAUCGGAAUUACUGGGCGUAAAGCGCGCGUAGGCGGUUUGUUAAGUGGGAUGUGAAAUCCCCGGGCUCAACCUGGGAAUUGCGUUCCAAACUGGCGAACUAGAGUAUGGUAGAGGAAGGUAGAAUUCCCUGUGUAGCGGUGAAAUGCGUAGAUAUAGGGAGGAAUACCAGUGGCGAAGGCGGCCUUCUGGACCAAUACUGACGCUGAGGUGCGAAAGCGUGGGGAGCGAACAGGAUUAGAAACCCGAGUAGUCC
rnacentral:rRNA from 1 species